rnacentral:rRNA from 1 species
UACGAAGGGGGCUAGCGUUGCUCGGAAUCACUGGGCGUAAAGGGUGCGUAGGCGGGGCUUUAAGUCAGGGGUGAAAUCCUGGAGCUCAACUCCAGAACUGCCUUUGAUACUGAGGAUCUUGAGUUCGGGAGAGGUGAGUGGAACUGCGAGUGUAGAGGUGAAAUUCGUAGAUAUUCGCAAGAACACCAGUGGCGAAGGCGGCUCACUGGCUCGAUACUGACGCUGAGGCACGAAAGCGUGGGGAGCAAACAGG